rnacentral:rRNA from 1 species
UACGUAGGGUGCGAGCGUUGUCCGGAAUUAUUGGGCGUAAAGGGCUCGUAGGCGGUCUGUCGCGUCGAUCGUGAAAACUUGGGGCUUAACCCUGAGCUUGCGGUCGAUACGGGCAUGACUGGAGUUCGGCAGGGGAGACUGGAAUUCCUGGUGUAGCGGUGAAAUGCGCAGAUAUCAGGAGGAACACCGGUGGCGAAGGCGGGUCUCUGGGCCGAUACUGACGCUGAGGAGCGAAAGCGUGGGGAUCGAACAGG